GUCUAUGGCCAUACCUCCCUGAAAGCGCCUGAUCUCGGAAGUUAAGCAGGAUCGGGCCUGGUUAGUACUUGGAUGGGAGAGUACUACACAGGAUGCAGAAGAAC
ensembl:rRNA 5S_rRNA 5S ribosomal RNA